rnacentral:rRNA from 1 species
GACGAGUGGCGGACGGGUGAGUAAUGUCUGGGAAACUGCCUGAUGGAGGGGGGAUAACUACUGGAAACGGUAGCUAAUACCGCAUAACGUCGCAAGACCAAAGAGGGGGACCCUCGGGCCUCUUGCCAUCGGAUGUGCCCAGAUGGGAUUAGCUUGUUGGUGGGGUAACGGCUCACCUAGGCGACGAUACAUAGCCGACCUGAGAGGGUGAUCGGCCACACUGGGACUGAGACACGGCCCAGACUCCUACGGGAGGCAGCUG